AGAGUUUGAUCCUGGCUCAGAUUGAACGCUGGCGGCGUGCUUAACACAUGCAAGUCGAACGAUGAUGGAUGAGCUUGCUCAUCCUGAUUAGUGGCGCACGGGUGAGUAUACCAUAGAUAAUGUACCUCUUAGUUUGGGAUAGCCACUGGAAACGGUGAUUAAUACCAGAUACUCCUUCUUACUAUAAGGUAAGUCGGGAAAGUUUUUUCGCUAAGAGAUCAGUCUAUGUCCUAUCAGCUAGUUGGUGAGGUAAUGGCUCACCAAGGCUAUGACGGGUAUCUGGUUUGAGAGGAUGAUCAGACACACUGGAACUGAGACACGGUCCAGACUCCUACGGGAGGCAGCAGUGAGGAAUAUUGCACAAUGGAGGAAACUCUGAUGCAGCAACGCCGCGUGGAGGAUGACGCAUUUCGGUGUGUAAACUCCUUUAAGAGGGAAGAUUAUGACGUACCUCUGA
rnacentral:rRNA from 1 species